UUUAGAGUUUUGGAUCUGGCUCAGAACGAACGCUGGCGGCAGGCUUAACACAUGCAAGUCGAACGCCCCGCAAGGGGAGUGGCAGACGGGUGAGUAACGCGUGGGAACAUACCCUUUCCUGCGGAAUAGCUCCGGGAAACUGGAAUUAAUACCGCAUACGCCCUACGGGGGAAAGAUUUAUCGGGGAAGGAUUGGCCCGCGUUGGAUUAGCUAGUUGGUGGGGUAAAGGCCUACCAAGGCGACGAUCCAUAGCUGGUCUGAGAGGAUGAUCAGCCACAUUGGGACUGAGACACGGCCCAAACUCCUACGGGAGGCAGCAGUGGGGAAUAUUGGACAAUGGGCGCAAGCCUGAUCCAGCCAUGCCGCGUGAGUGAUGAAGGCCUUAGGGUUGUAAAGCUCUUUCACCGGAGAAGAUAAUGACGGUAUCCGGAGAAGAAGCCCCGGCU
rnacentral:rRNA from 1 species